UCAGGAUGAACGCUAGCUACAGGCUUAACACAUGCAAGUCGAGGGGCAUCACGUGAGGCAGCAAUGCAUCUGGGUGGCGACCGGCGAAUGGGUGAGUAACGAGUAUCCAACCUGGCCCAUACUCGGGCACAGCCCCGCGAAAGCGGGAUUAAUGCCCGAUGCGGCGUAUCUCCCGCAUGGGAAUUACGUCAAAGGUAUAAACUGGUAUGGGAUGGGGAUGCGUCCGAUUAGCUAGACGGCGGGGUAACGGCCCACCGUGGCGAUGAUCGGUAGGGGUUCUGAGAGGAAGGUCCCCCACAUUGGAACUGAGACACGGUCCAAACUCCUACGGGAGGCAGCAGUGAGGAAUAUUGGUCAAUGGCCGCAAGGCUGAACCAGCCAAGUAGCGUGAGGGAUGAACCUGCCCUAUGGGUCGUAAACCUCUUUUGCACGGGAAUAACCGCACCCACGCGUGGGUGCCUGCAUGUACCGUGCGAAUAAGCAUCGGCUAACUCCGUGCCAGCAGCAGC
rnacentral:rRNA from 1 species